UCUGACUUUGAGCCAGGACUUGAAGCAGACACUAUGGCUCAUGCAGAAAAAAAACUUCUUCCCACAAGACUGCCAGCAAAAUUUUGCAGACUCAAGAUGUUCAGAGAGUUUGGACAAUCAUCACAGUUUUUGGACACCUAUCUGAGACCAUCUUCUGUCAAGUUUAUUCAGCUCAUAAAUGUGAAUAAAAAAUUGCUAAAUGUGAACUCAAAGAGACAGUGCAGUUUUACAUCUGAGUCCACUCGAUGCAUCACAGAAGCAGCAUGUGCAGCAACAGGAGUCCAAUAGCAUCAACCACCAGGAAACAAGGAUCACGGAGCAUGUGAGAAAAUGGUAAUUGAGAAGUCUGAUCAAGGAACACACUAAAAUUGGAGGCAUGAAACACUUGCAGAAUUGUCCCAAUGGUCCAUCUGGGGAUCCUGGGAACAAGUGUCUUUUAAGCCACGACCAGUCUUUCUACUUCUUCCUCAUACUUUGUAUCUGGCUUGCGUACAUGUCACAGAAUCAGGUGCUAAAAGAAGAGGUGAUACAGCAAUAAGCUAUCCCAAAUAUAGCAUUAAGUGAAACAAACACAUCGUAUACUAGUUAUUAUAUCUGGAAGUUUGCUAAAGCUGCCGUAACAAAAUAUUAUAGAAUGGUGGCUUAAACAACAGAA
rnacentral:sRNA from 1 species